UUGGGUUCAUGAUGUUUCAAAUGUCUGACCUGAAAAACAAAUGUGGAAACAAUUAGUACUGAAGAA